rfam:Thioclava sp. SK-1 scaffold48_cov2163_read209, whole genome shotgun sequence.
AGCUUAUUUUGCGCAGGCGGAACUCGACCGCCCACUCAAGCGAUGAUCGGUUUCAUCGACGAUCAAAGGGCUGUUUACGGUGUCGAGU